rnacentral:rRNA from 1 species
GGAACUGUUUACUUUGCUGAACCUCACAAAGGUAAGCAAGAUUAGGUCUGGUGAGUACAUGGAUGGGAAACCUCCUGGGAAACAUAUAUAUUCCC